GGAUGUGAGGAUGAUCUGGCUGCGGCAUCUGUCAUCCCACUGAUCACCAGGGUUGAUUCUGCUGAUCUGGUUGGCUAGGCGGGUGUCCCCUUCCUCCCUCACUGCUCCAUGUGCAUCCCUCCAAAAGCUUCGUGCUCCGUCAAAGAAGACGGCCUUCCCCCUAAUAGAGAAUGACCUAUCUUAGGUUGAGGGUAUAGGAGUAUCAGCGCUUCCCUGCUAGAACCUCCAAUGGAGCUCUCAAGAAUAGGAAAGCUAUCAGGGGAGGGGAGGGGAUAUAGAGUUCUGGUGGUGGGAAUUGUGUGGAGUUGUACCUCUCUUA
rnacentral:snRNA from 1 species